GAUGAACGCGGCGGCGUGCCUAACACAUGCAAGUCGAACGGAGAUUUAACGCUGAUGAAGCUUCGGCAGAAUCUUGUUAAAUCUUAGUGGCGGACGGGUGAGUAACGCGUGGGCAACCUGCCUCGUACUGGGGGAUAACAGUUGGAAACGACUGUUAAUACCGCAUAAGCGCACGGUAUCGCAUGAUACAGUGUGAAAAACUCCGGUGGUACGAGAUGGGCCCGCGUCAGAUUAGCCAGUUGGCGGGGUAACGGCCCACCAAAGCAACGAUCUGUAGCCGGACUGAGAGGUCGGACGGCCACAUUGGGACUGAGACACGGCCCAAACUCCUACGGGAGGCAGCAGUGGGGGAUAUUGCACAAUGGGCGAAAGCCUGAUGCAGCGACGCCGCGUGAGUGAAGAAGUAUUUCGGUAUGUAAAGCUCUAUCAGCAGGGAAGAAAGGCUCGUAAGAGAGAUGACGUAC
rnacentral:rRNA from 1 species